AACAAAGAAGACACAAAAUAGUACAGUAUAUCACAAUAGCAUAUAUCACAAUAGCAGUAAACAGAACUAAUCAAUAAUCAAUUAAUCAUUCAAUAAUCCAUAUAAUUGCUGAACAAAAAAUAAAACAAAAA